rnacentral:rRNA from 1 species
GAUGAACGCUGACAGAAUGCUUAACACAUGCAAGUCCACUUGAAUUUGGGUUUUUAACUUAGGUUUGGGUGGCGGACGGGUGAGUAACGCGUAAAGAACUUGCCUCACAGCUAGGGACAACAUUUGGAAACGAAUGCUAAUACCUAAUAUUAUGAUAAUAGGGCAUCCUAUAAUUAUGAAAGCUAUAAGCGCUGUGAGAGAGCUUUGCGUCCCAUUAGCUAGUUGGAGAGGUAACGGUUCACCAAGGCGAUGAUGGGUAGCCGGCCUGAGAGGGUGAUCGGCCACAAGGGGACUGAGACACGGCCCUUACUCCUACGGGAGGCAGCAGUGGGGAAUAUUGGACAAUGGACCGAGAGUCUGAUCCAGCAAUUCUGUGUGCACGAUGAAGUUUUUCGGAAUGUAAAGUGCUUUCAGUUGGGAAGAAACAAAUGACGGUACCAACAGAAGAAGUGACGGCUAAAUACGUG